GAUUGAAUGCCGCGGUUGUAAAUGAAAGUGGAAAAAUUACAUCACGUAGUCAUUGGCGAUUAAAAUGACUGAGAGGCGCAUUGCAAACUAUCCUGGCUCGUGUAGUGCAUGUGCAAUGUUUAAAAGGUACCGGGUCUAUGAUCGUGUAAAGAUGACAGGAUAUCUCUAUUAAUCCUUCAGACAAGGAGUUGCGCCGAGGACCAGGGAAGAGUCAAGAUUUCCUGCAUCAAGAUCAACAAGCAGAAAGUGAAAUGUACAGAAGCAGAUAGUUGUGUACAGCGAAAACAGUGUAUUGUACGUGACCCUAGAACUGCCUGCCGUAGAACAUUCGAAGCCAAAGCCAUUAUGAAAUUCAAUAUUAAAAAAUGUGCUCCAAAAGUACAAAA